rnacentral:lncRNA from 1 species
GGAUUUUUAGCUCGUGCACCAGAGGCCCUGCCCUGGCAUGUCAAGGUUACAGAGAGGAGGCGGCUGGCAGCCACUCAAUCAUGCAGCUGGGCUGGCUCUCAGGUGACGCCAGCAGCCUCCCAACUGGUCCCCGGAUCCUCCUUGCUCCCCACAGGCUGUUCUCCACGCAGCAGCCAGAGGGACCCUUUGGAAGCUUGCAGGUAUUGGCCGAGUUUAGCCCUCGGGCUGUAGUCUGACAACCCCUGGCCUUGAAGGAUUCAGGAGGUACAGAAAUUGGAACCUUUGGUCUUCGACUUGUCAGCCGUUGGCUAGUUGAUGAGGAACGUUUUCCUUCUACCGUCAGCUUCCUUGUCACGAAGACUCACCAGCUCUGACCAGCUGUUGGAGACAGACUCAGGGCUCAGCAGAGAGAGCAGCGGGCCGUCUCGCUCCAGCCCGAAAUCUUAAGAUGACUCUAGACCCUUCCAUACGCACCAGCACAUGCACC